UACGGGGGGAGCAAGCGUUGUUCGGAUUUACUGGGCGUAAAGGGCGCGUAGGCGGCCACCGCAAGUCGACUGUGAAAUCUCCGGGCUUAACCCGGAAAGGUCAGCCGAUACUGCGGGGCUAGAGUGCAGAAGGGGCAACUGGAAUUCUCGGUGUAGCGGUGAAAUGCGCAGAUAUCAGGAGGAACACCGGUGGCGAAGGCGGGUCUCUGGGCAGUAACUGACGCUGAGGAGCGAAAAGCGUGGGGAGCGAACAGG
rnacentral:rRNA from 1 species